CCCCCUCCCGAUCUCCCGACAGUUCCCCCCUCCCGAUCUCCCGACCGUCCUCCCCUCCCGAUCGUCCUCCCCUCCCGAUCUCCCGACCGUCCUCCCCUCCCGAUCUCCCGACCGUCCUCCCCUCCCUAUCUCCCGACCGUCCUCCCCUCCCGAUCCCCCGUCGGCUGUCCGGUGUGCGAACGCUGAUGGCGUUGAUGGUGCAUGCGGUCGAAGGUUUGGCCGUCGGCCAUUCACACCCUGGCUAACCUCGGAGUCGUGGCGACUCGACGCCUGACUCCUCCCGGUUCGACAUUUCACAAGUUGCAUGGUUUUGCAUCGUGCUGCUCCUCACGUAGGCGCUUGGGUUUGCUUUAAAGGAGCAAAGAAAGAGUUUUUUGACCCUCUGUGCUACUCCCACCCAACACAAAACUGAAGAAAACCAAGGUUCAUUGAAAACCACAAAGCCUACUAAGAGCCCUACUGAAAAUACGGUGCAAGAUAAGAUGAAUUCUUGUCCCUGUGCCACUCAAAAAAUGCAAGUGCUGCAACUUAAAAUGAAUGAGUUGGAUCGAGAAUAUCGAACCCUGCAGGCAAGUCUCCUUUUGGCAGUGAAUGCGACAAAAAUAGAAUCUGCAGCCAAGACUCUAUUUGCUACCAUGUUUGUCACCCAUGCGUGCACACUUUUUACUACUGCUUAGAAGUUGCUCACCUGGUGGUAUUGAAGGACUUGAUAGGAACUUUUUAAAUGGGAGCAGCUAUUUGCUUAGGAACUGUUAAAAGUUGAAUCACACAUGUAAGUUUUGGGUGCUAACUUUCCUUUCAUAAUACUCAUAGCUCAAUAUUUGUGUGUGUGUGUGUGCGCAGUAUGUAUGUAUAUACAAACGGUAUGUGUGUGUAUGUAUGGAAUAGAUUAAAGUUUCUUGUGUCUGAUAUGGGAGGACAGCGUGUUUAAGUAAGCUUUCACUGUUUGUACCCAUUUCGGACAAGAUUCACGAAUGCCAACAUUAGAAUGUGUUCUCAAUUAACAUCACGUUUAAGCACUGUCAGAUGGUAUCUUCUGGCAAAAAAUGAAAGGAAUAAAAAUGAAAAAAAAAUAUAUAUAUAUUCAUAAAAAUGAAGUCUCUCCAUACCAUCUAAUAAUGCACACUGCCUCCCAGUUUCAUGAUAUAGUUGAAGGGAUCAGAGGUAAUGAAUUAAAAGCAUUGGGUUUAUAGACCAUGAUCAGCAAGGAUCCCUGGUAUCCCAGUGGUGAAAGCCUCCCAUCCCAGCAAAUUCCUAACUUUUAUUUACAUUCACCAAUUCUCCUUUCCUGCCAAUAUUUAUAUUUAAAGUGGAGUAGGCUCUUCUGGCCUUUCAAUCCACACUUCCCUGCAACCCCAAGCCCUAACAUAAUCACAGGACUAUUUACAAUGAGUAAUGACUCUACACAGUACAUUUUCGGAAAUUCCACAGGUAAAGCCGUACAGAGAUUCAUUGUAGAACGGCCGACACUGGAAUUUGAAUUCUGAACUCUGGAACACUCCGAGCUAUAAUAGCAUCGUGCUAACCACUAGGAUUCCACGUGCUCUGAUUUUGAGUAAACAUUUUUCCUGAAAAUCCAAGUACACCAGCCUAGCAAGGUUGUCACUAUUUUUCAUGUUCAAACCUCAGGAAAUCUGCAAGUAUGAUAUCUGUUCCAUAAAUCAUUGUGGACUUUGCCCAUUCUGAGUGCUCUUUUUCCUUUCCCAUAACAAUAGAUUCCAGCUUUUCCCCCAGUUUUGAUAUCAGGCUAACUGGUUUUUAGUUCUGUUCGCUCUCACUGUCCUUUGCUACUUUCUGAUUGGAGGGAAUCCCAUUGAAAUCUCUGGAACUUUGGCGUUGACAACUAGGUGCAUCCAGUCAAAUCCAAUAGACUUAUUUUUUGCUUGUCUGAGUGUGACAAGUUGUAUUAAGGUCCUACUCUCCAUGCAUUAUCUUGAUUUAUUUGAUUGCCAUUAACAUAGCCGUUUUUCUCACAGAACUAGUCUCUGUCUUUGACUGAUGAAUUAUUAAGAACUGGGAAGCUAUAAAAAAGUAUAGCUUUAAUCGGGAAUAAACAUUAAAAACAAUCUUAGGUGUUCUGAAAAGAAGCUGCAAUCUACCCCAUUUUUAUGGCUUAAUUUCUAAAGUUAUCUAAUUCCACUCCAGAUCAUUUUGCAGUUGUCCGGUAGUUAUUGUGAGAGGCUACAAAAUUGAAUGGUACAGGAGUUCAUAACAUCUGCUUGGUUACUAGAGUUGAUGCACUGCUCAAACAAUUUUUGGAAUGUGCUUGGAAAGCUUUGCAGAGCAAAGUUCAAAGUACAUUUAUUAUCAAAGUAUGUGUACUAUAUACAACCUUGAGAUUCAUCUCCGCACAGGCAGCCACUAAACAAAGAACCUGGUAGAACCUAUUUCAAAAAACGAAGGCUGUCAAACACACAAGGUGCAAAAAAAAACACCUGAAAAAAAAAGUAAGCAAAUAACAUUCAUCAUUGAAGUUCACGAAAGUGCGUCCACAGCCACAAAGCCUUCAUCACUGCAGAUAAUCCAAGAGCCUGUUAUUUGUAGCAGUUUUUUUUCCUUGAAACAGAUCCAAGAAGAAUAGGAUUACAUUUUGGGAAUAGUGUAUAUGCUGUUCAACAUGGUGGGAUGCAUGGCUGAACAAUGAAGUAUUGGAAAACUAGACAAAUAUACUACAUGCAUUUUUGAUGCUACUAAUGUUUUCCUUUGCAACUUUGCUAGCAACUUGUAAGGACCUAUAUUUGUCAUAAGAUCUAAACUCCAUUAAAUAUCUAACUGCUUUUGGGUGAUCAGUCACCUACAUAUUUGUACUUAAAAUUAUAUUUGUACUGCAAAUGUAGGAAAUCUGAAAUUUAAAAAAAAAAUUCCUAAGAGCUGCUGAAAAUACUUGGCAGGUCAGGAGGCUUCUGUGCAAGGAGGAAGAGAGUCAGUUGCCUUUCAACAGAACUGGAAAAUAUUAACCAAGUCUUUUUUUCACUUCUGAAAAAGGGUUAUUAACCUAAGACUGCUUCUCUCUUUGCAGAAUCUUACCUGAGCUGAGUACCUUUCAGCAUUUCUGAUUUUAUUGCAGGCUUAUGGAAUCAUCUUCAUUCUCUUUUGUCAUUGGCUUAUAAAAUUCUGAAUAAUUCUGAAAUUCUGGAAGUUUAACAAUUCAAUGAUCAUAAGUAACUGGCCAGUAGGAAAUGCCCCAAGAACUGCAAUUACUAUUAAGGAUGGCCAUUAGAGCCAAGCUUGUUUUUUCAGUGUAAAUUUUAAUUUACCAUGUUGACAUCAAAUUAUCACAUGUAAUUUGAGGCAUGUUCAAAGGCAUUGACCAAAUUAGUUUUUCAUUUUAAUUAUUUUUUUAUAUGUAGUCAGUUUGCAAAUAGCUCCCAAAUAGAGAAAAGUUUUAACACUGGUGUGAGCAAAUGUUACUUGAAAGUGAUAUUUAAAGUGUGCUGGACUGUAACCUUGCAUUCUAAUAAUUGAAUUGUAUUCCUGAAGCCAAAUUUCAGGCCUGUGUGGAACAUGAGAAGUUUGGAUUCUGCACCGGACCAUCCGAAUGCUCUCUGCAGGUGAAUUGCAGCAUCAAGGUGGAUGAGCGAUUUGUUGUGAAACCGAAUUGCAGGGCCUCUGAUUCUUGAAGUUGAAGGUGUGUUGUCAGGAGUUUGUUGAGAACAAGCUCUUGAUUUUAAACAAAACAAGCCAACUUCAUGCGGAUAAAUGGUGGCAAACUGGGAAUUGGUUGCAAUUUUUUAAGUUAGCAGUUGGCAAUGAAUGACUUAAGUUCCUUUAAGUAAGUUACAUUGCAGCAUAAACAUGUGAAGUGGUAACACAAACAUAAUUAUUGGCUUUAAUUUACCUCAGCAUGUGUUCCAAGUGGCCAUUUGAUAUCACUGUUAGGUUGUCAGCAUUAAUCAACUCUGCUUUGAUGGAUGCAGUAGGACUAACAUCUGAAGAAAUUGCUGAUGUGUUCGUGCUGGUUUCCUUUCAUGCUAUAAAAGCCAAGGGUAAAGCCUUUGUUUCAGGAUCAUGGAGAUCUCUGGCACAGAAACAGGCUCAUCAGCACACCAUCUCCUUGCUGACCAUUUUGCUCAAUUACACUAAUCCCAUUUGUCAACAUUAGGAUAGUGCCCUUCUAUGCCUUAUCUCUGUCUAACUGCUGCAUACACUGUAAUUGUAUCUAUCUCUGCUACCUCCUCUGUGUUCCAGAUAUCAACUACUCUGUAGUUGUCAAAAGCCCAACCCCCAAGAUACUAUUUAAAUUUCCCACCUCAACAUUCAUUGGAAUAUUUUUCCAGUGGUAAGAGUGUCAAAAACAGUAGGGUAUAGUUUUUAUAUUUUCUAAAUUUGACUAGCUAUGUUUCAUAACCUUACAUGCUUCUAUCAGGUCACCCUUUGGCCUCCUUCAUUCUAGGGAGAACAACCCCAGCAUAUGCAGUAUCUUCCUAGAAUUAGUCCUCCAGUCCAGGCAAUGUACUGGUGAAUCUCCUGCACUCUCUCCACGACAAUCUUUCCUGUUAUGUAACAACUGGAACUAUACACAAUACUCCCAAGUGCAGUCUAAUUUGUGUUUUGUAAAGUAUCAAUGUAGCAUCCUAACACUACAACCUAUGAAGUUAAGCAUGUUAUCUGCCUUAUAACUUUAAUUGCAGAUUUCAUCAGCUGCAUAUUGAAUAUUUGGAAAAAUUAUUGAACUGCAUAGAUUUUCAAUACAAAAGUUUUGUGAAAAAUUGGCAUAUUAUUGAAAGUAUUUUACAAUAUGUUCAGUUAUUAGUUUUGUAAGCUGUAGGACAUAAUGGGCUUGAUACAAUCCCCCCUGGGUAAAGUAAUUUUAAUUGCACCAAAUUUGCCGUAUCAGGUUUUUUUCUCCAAAGAUUAUAUUUUAAGUGUUUGCUUUAUCUCGUGUUUGAUUUUAUAGGAUAACUACAGAAGGGUUUUAACCCAUGCUGAAGACACUAAUAGAAGAGUUCGAAAAUGCGUAGAAGAUGCCAGGAUGUAUGGUAUCCAUAGUUUUUGCAAAGAUAUCCUGGCAGUUGCUGAUUUACUAGAAAAGACCACACAGAAUGU